GUGCUUGCUUCAGCAACACAUACACUGAAAUUGGAAUAAUACAGAGAAGAUCACCAUGGACCAUGCACAGGGAUGACAGGCAAAUUCGUAAAGUAAUACUAAGGUUU